rnacentral:rRNA from 1 species
CAGCUAUAGACUACACGGUAAAUAUUUUAGUUGGAUAACUGAGGUAAUUCUUGAGCUAAUACACGCUAUUUAUACCACAUUAGUGGUGCGUUUAUUUGAUUAAACCAUUAUAACGGUUGACUCAAAAUAUCCUUGCUGAUUUUGUUAUUAAAACAUACCGUAUGUGUAUCUGGUUUAUCAACUUUCGAUGGUAGGGUAUUGGCCUACCAUGGUUGUGACGGAUAACGGAGAAUUAGGGUUCGACUCCGGAGAGGGAGCCUGAGAAACGGCUACCACAUCCAAGGAAGGCAGCAGGCGCGAAAAUUACCCAAUUUUAGUUCAAAGAGGUAGUGACGAAAAAUGACAACCAAAUAUUAUUAUUAAUAUUUGGAUUGAAAAUCUUCAAGUUUAAAUAACUUGUUGGUAAAGGAAAGGGCAAGUCUGGUGCCAGC